AAGCAUUCCAUAAUUGGAGUAAAAAGUUAGAAUAAGUCUCUCACUAACUAGUUUAGAGAGAGAAUUCUCUCUCAGACACAGUCCAAAGUCUUCUUUGGGCAAGUUGAAGUUUCAUUUUUUGUUAGCUCUCUUGUCCUUCUAAGUAGAGGGAAUCCGUUUCUCCUGUUUAAAGUGUGGGUUCGUUUCCCUCUCCACCCUUUGGGAUGGAUGUAGAUAUAUGUUUUAGGUUUUAUUCUUGAUGCUGUAAAUCCAGAACUUUAUUGAGAGGGAUUUGGUUUUAGUUCUGGGUCUUUGGUUUUGUAUGGGUUUGAUGAGGUUAGAUGCAGACUCAACUAUGGCAGCAGAGCCAAAGGGAGACAACUCAAGGAUUAAGAGCUGGUAUUUCGAUGCUGUUGCCGGUGCUCCAUGGCUAGUGAAGAGUGAGAUGACAUGCCUUAUAUGUCUUUCUUCUCUCCCAAGUCAACGGCUUUAAGAGCCCAUUGUUUCCCUUAGGAGGAGAUGGUUUAUUUAUUGAAUCUUUGGAUUUUCUUCUUGAUUAUGUUUGGUUGUUUUAGUCUUGCAUGGAUUUGGGAAGCUUCUCAUCUUCAAGGUUUCCAGUGGCUUCUCUGAUCCAUCGUUUUUCUAAUGAAUGCACUGAAUAAAAUUUGUUUUAUAGUUAGAAAUAUGUAUAGGGUUUUACUGUAUAGGGUACUGGACUUCUUUAGUGGACCUGCUCUUAAGUUGAAGAUUCCGUUGUGAUCAAGCCUAUGGCCUUAUUUGUGUAAGCUUCCAAUUUGUGCUUUAAUGAAAUCUCACUUGCAAUAU
rnacentral:misc_RNA from 1 species